GGAUGUGAGGGUGAUCUGGCUGUGACAUCUGUCACCCCAUUGAUCGCCAGCGUUGAUUCGACUGAUCUGGCUGGCUAGGCGGGUGUCCCCUUCCUCCCUCACUGCUCUAUGUGCGUCCCUCCUGAAGCUGCAUGCUCGGUUGAAGAGGACGACCUUCCCUGAUAGAGGAGGACUGUUCUUCGGUCAAGGGUAUACGCGUAGCUGUGCUCCCCUACUAGAACCUACAAACAAGCUCUCAAGGAGAGGUUUGUGAUGCUAAGCAUAACUGUCAUCCAACUCUGCUGAGCCUCUGCAUCCUU
rnacentral:snRNA from 1 species